rnacentral:misc_RNA from 1 species
UUUCUUUUUUUUUUUUUUUUUGGCGCUUUAAGUGCAGAAAGCCCCCAUUUCACUAAAAGCACUUUUUUAUCUAUUGCUGCGCUUUUGCAAGCGCUUUUGACUACACUGAUUUUCAUUAAAAGUAGUUUCUCUAUGAAGACCUCUGAAAAAAAGACCCAAAUUGCAACAUCUAAAACAAUCCUCAUAUCAUAUUAAGUCAUUUCAUCCAUCGCGUGUUGAAUCCUAAAUCAAAUACAUAUUAAAUAAAAGCAUUUACUGGGCAAAGAAAAUUGCAGCUUAAAGAACCAACUCUUCACAAAGUCAUCCAAUUAACAACUUUGAUUAAUUCAUUUUAGCUGUAUUAAACUUACUAGGGAAAGAUACCACAAAUCUUCUUCCUAAUCAUAAAUGUAGCUAAAAAUUUAGAGUCAGGUUGAUCAAUUACGGUUGAGACAAUGGGUCCACAAUUCACAAUGAAAUUUCUUUUUUGAGAAAUUGGUACUUUCAUGAAUUUGAUCAACUAGAAAAAUCCUACAUGGUUCACUACUAAAAUAUGAACACCCGCAAGCCUGGAAUGAAGAAAACAAAAAGCGUAAUCUGAAUUUCAAACUGAAACACAACAAUCCCAUCAAAAUACCCCAAAACCAAAGACAUCAACAUUCAUUAAUCAAACAGAAACCCAUCAACGUCAGACUAACCAAACAUCAAAUUACAAAGCACAUUCGAUCAUAAACAUUGGUAAAAUACAGUUGAAAUCAAAGACUUACUAGCUUGGAGCUUCUUGUGCAUCUUAUUGAUCUCCGAAAGCACUUCCUCUUGCUCUUUCCUUAACCGAUCGAGCUCCCUCGAGUUCUCCAAAAUUCCCGCAAUGUCCGGCGACGACAUUUUUUUUUUUUUUUAAAUUUCCCUUGUCGCAGAAUCAGAAUCAGAAUAAGCAAUGUUUGUUCUGCUUCUAACAGAAAGCUCGAUUCUUUUAGCUACAGUCCCACUUCGAUCUUCUCUUUCGUUGUUGGAAAGUUUUUACUUUUUCCCUCUAUGGAACAAAAAAGGAAGGCUUUUUU